rnacentral:rRNA from 1 species
GAUGAACGCUGGCGGCGUGCCUAAUACAUGCAAGUCGAGCGAAUGGAUUAAGAGCUUGCUCUUAUGAAGUUAGCGGCGGCCGGGUGAGUAACACGUGGGUAACCUGCCCAUAAGACUGGGAUAACUCCGGGAAACCGGGGCUAAUACCGGAUAACAUUUUGAACCGCAUGGUUCGAAGUUGAAAGGCGGCUUCGGCUGUCACUUAUGGAUGGACCCGCGUCGCAUUAGCUAGUUGGUGAGGUAACGGCUCACCAAGGCAACGAUGCGUAGCCGACCUGAGAGGGUGAUCGGCCACACUGGGACUGAGACACGGCCCAGACUCCUACGGGAGGCAGCAGUAGGGAAUCUUCCGCAAUGGACGAAAGUCUGACGGAGCAACGCCGCGUGAGUGAUGAAGGCUUUCGGGUCGUAAAACUCUGUUGUUAGGGAAGAACAAGUGCUAGUUGAAUAAGCUGGCACCUUGACGGUACCUAACCAGAAAGCCACGGCUAACUACGUGCCAGCAGCCGCCGUAA